rnacentral:tRNA from 1 species
AGGCGUAGUUCAAUGGUAGAACCUCAGAUUACCAAUCUGACUACGCGGGUUCGAUUCCCGUCGCCUG